AUAGAAUAGUACAUUUUGACAUAGUUAUGCCUUCAAAAUCACUUAUUAAUGAUGUACCUUUGAAAAGAAAGAAGAAAUCAUCCUCAAACUAUAUCAGAAUCGGGCAUUGUGAGGAAUGUUAUCACAGCAUGCCAAGCUGUAAAAGAAAUCCAAUAUUAUACCUGUGAAUACUGACGAGGAUGAAACAACAUCGCAUGUUAAUCCCUGAUUGAGUGAUACUACAUCCUAAGGAAAUUGCCCAACCCCUCAAGAUACUUCCAAGUGUGGUUGUAUUUGAGUCUUCAAAAUGUCAUUUCACUAUUCUCUCAGGACAACUGCUUCAGGAUGAUAGGGAACAUGCUACUUGGCCAUGCAGAGAAGCUUGGAAUGAUCACAGAAGCUGACAGGGCCGCUGAUACUGGGGAAGGCUGGCUGCAAAAAAGUAAUGUCUGCUAAAAACAGAUCCUUCCAGUAUAAUCAGAGAAAAACUGCAGCACCCCAGAGAUAAGCGAAAUCAUACACCAGCAAAAGACUUUAGAUUAAUGAAGAAAGAGAGCUGAGGUAUUACAAAAGCUUCUUGGCUACCUCCUCUUGCCUCAGACAUAUGCCUGCCGACAGGUACUGAGUAUAUGACAUCUCGAGGACUUUAGAGAAUAAGUAGUAUUUUAAUUUGUUAGGCAAUAACUAAAUGCCAAACAUCUGGCAUAGAGUGUCUAAAAAUCUUUUCAAUGGUUUUUCAAAGUAGGUAUAGUCAUCUCUAUUCUAUGAGUGGUACAGCUGUAGAUUAACAAAGUUAAGCAAUUUUUCCAAGAUCACACAUCUCAUAAUCUAGAUGUCCCUAACUAUAAAACCCACAUGUUUUUCAUGACACCAGGCUCCUUCAUGAAGUUGUCCUAAGCUGUGAAGAUGAUUUUACAUUUUUUUCCACAUUAUGGGAUGGCCUUGGGAUAUAAAUGCUUUCUAAAGAAAAUUCUUCAGCAGAAGGUAUAAAGUUGGGUCUAAUAACACAUGGUUGUCCAGCCACAUAUCAUAUUUGUAUAACAGAACUUGUCAGAAACAUGUCGAAGAUAAUGUUUACAUUAAAAUUAAAAUAUGACCAAACAUUGAUUUGGAAACUCAGGCCUGCUUAUAAACUAUCUAACUUUGUAAUUAGGGAGCUAAGAGAGGAUUAAGGAAUUAGGAGUAGGAAGAAUACUAACUAAAAUGAAAAUCUGAAAUGAUGAAAUAGAUUGUAUGAACUAAUGUCAAUGUUUUAUUGAAUAAGGUAAUAUAUAUAAAAAUAUUGAGCCUUACAUAAAAAUACAUAUAGAUAGAUAGAUAGAUAGAUAGAUAAUCAUCCAAAGCAUGCCUGCUGUGGUAGAUUAAUGAAGUAAGUCUAGGUAAAAGUAGAAAUAAAGAAAUAAAAGAGGAAAUAAAAUUAUAUUCAGCCAAAAUCCAAGACCAUCAAAGACUUAUAGAACUUUUGAGCUGGAAGGGACCAGGGAGAUCCUUUCUUCUAUAUUUAUGUGCAUAAUUAAAUAGAUGAGUAAGUAUGAUAGAGCUAUUUGGUAUAAUACAUUACAGUAAAUAUUCCUACAUAAAAUAAUCACGUUUAGACUACGCAUUAAAAGAAAGUCAUUUCCCAAUACUCUGAACAAUUCUCAAGAUAAACUUUCUUUCUAUUCUAAAAGAAAACUCCUCUUUGAUCAAAAGAAAGCAAGCAAACAUCUGAGUGCUUUCACACUGUUGUAGAUAUAACUUAUCUGACUUGUAUCAUAGAAGCUGCUGUAAAAUUAACAACGAAAAUUCUUCAUUUCCUUUUAAAUAUGCAAAAAGGGACUUUAAUGAAUGCACUAAAUUUUACAUUUAUUAAGGUAUACUCCAAUGUUCUAAGCUGAACAAGAUUUUUAUUUCCCCAAUCCUGGAAACAUCCAUGACUCCAAGGCACUAAGACAGUCAUUGUUCAUUCCAUUUACUUGUCUGGUCUGUGUGUCUAACUUGAUCAUUAAAUUAUAUUCUUUUAAAAGAGAUAGUACAGUGAACUGCUUACAGGCAUAGUCUUUUCAAUUAGGAAGAACCUGACUAUAAACUUUGGUUUCAUCAAUUACCUGGUCUCUCACGUGUUGAACUAUAAUGAACUAGAUAUUUUAAAACUAUAAAACAAGGCUAAAAUUAGAACCUACUUUUGGUGGAGUGAGAAGGGCCUAAUAAAUAACACAGUUUUUUUUCCUAGAUGAACUCACAAUCAGUAGAGAUAGAAGAAAGUAGCAUAAGGAAACCAAAAUAUCUCUCUUAUUAUAGGUAAAACUUAUCUUCACAAUUGUGAUUUAUGUCUAUAAGCAAGUGAAUGGGCCUCUUCACAUGAAACCACAAGAUGAGAUUAUCACACAUGCCUGAUCUUAUAAAUUGUACAGCAAUGAACACAGUGAAUCAUAUACCAUAUGCUAGUUAGACCUCAUUCCUGAGAAAGAAAUGUCCAACCAGGCAUGACCGACUUUACCAAAGAAGCCAUUCCAUUCUUUCUGGUGACAAGAGAGUAAAAAAGCAAGAGAGAACAAGAGAAUCACAGAAAUACAUGGCCCUCCACCCCUUACUCCCUCAUUUUAAAGGAAUGGAGUUUUAAAUUAGAAAAUAAAUUAAAAAUGCCUAGCAUAGUAAAAAUUUUCAACAAAUAUUAAGGGACAUUUUAUUUUGUAUUAAGUUGUGCCGUGCUUUGUAUAAGAUAAUAUCUUUUAUUCUGUUUUUCUUAUUAAAAUAAAACACUUGAUCAAAUCCUAAAUUGGUAAAUGGAAUAAAAUAAGUGUUUGUUAAAAUGUGAAGUAUAAGACUAUUUGCAUUUUCUCUGCCUUGAAAAUUUGGGGAAAUAUUUUCUUCAUUAGCAUUUCCAGACCCUCACCCUUGUGAGUGAAGGAAACUUCUAUUACUACACACAAUAUGAGAUUUAUACAGCAAAGUGUCUAACACGCUAUUGAGAACAUGACGAGGCAGACACUAUUAUAUCUGUCACAUGCACAUUGUUACUGGGAGUUAUAAUUAUUUCUAGGAUGCAAUUUUACAAUACAUAUGAAGAGCUUUAAAAAUUAUUUCAAGCAUUUUGACUUGAUAAUUAUACUUGGGGAAAAUAUCUGAAGAACUAACAAAAUAGGAAAAAUGAUUAUGAACCAUAAUUUUCAUCUCAGGAAUAUUUUGAAUACUAAAAAAUAUGAAAGACAGUUCAUUGACAAUAUGAGCAUGGAUUAAACUAUGCUGGUAUACUUUUUAUGCAGCGGUGAAACUUGCUCUAAUGAAUAAUUUUUUAUUAGUAGGAGA